GGAUGUGAGGGCAACCUUAGUGUAGCAUCUGUCACAUCAUUGAUUGCCAGGGUUAACUCAGCAGAUCUGGCGGGCUAGGUGAGUGUCCCCUUUCUAUCUCAUUGCUCCAUGUGUGUCCCUCCCAAAGUCACAUGCUCAGUGUGUGAAGGUGACCUUCCUUGAAUGAGGAGGAUAGUUCUUGUGUCUCCAAGGGUAUAUGAGUAGCUACUCAUCUCUGCUAAAUGCUCUAAGAAAAGUUCUCAAGGUCCAUUUGUAGAACUGUGUAGGGUAAUUAAGCUUCUGAGACUCCAGACAUGUUCAAAUGAGGUACUACAUAGUGUGGCAUUAUUUCUUCU
rnacentral:snRNA from 1 species